AUUUGUCUGGUUAAUUCCGAUAACGAACGAGACCUUAACCUGCUAACUAGAUUCUUUCAUCUUAUGAUUGUUAUCUUCUUAGAGGGACUAUGUAACAUAAAUACAUGGAAGUUUGAGGCAAUAACAGGUCAGUGAUGCCCUUAUAUGUCCUGGGCUGCACGCGUGCUACACUGAUGUAUACAGCAAGUGCCGAGCCAGACAUGGCGUGGCAAUCUCGAAUAUACAUCGUGAUGGGGAUAGAUCUUUGCAAUUAUAGAUCUUGAACGAGGAAUUCCUAGUAAGUGCAAGUCAUCAUCUUGCAUUGAUUAUGUCCCUGCCCUUUGUACACACCGCCCGUCGCUCCUACCGAUACCGGGUGAUCCGGUGAACCUUUUGGACCUGUACGGGGAAGAUAAGUAAACCAUAUCACCUAGAGGAAGGAGAAGUCGUAACAAGGUUUCCGUAGGUGAACCUGCRGAAGGAUCA
rnacentral:rRNA from 1 species